AAUAGGUAGGAAGAGCUGGAAGACAUCACUAUGGGUCAAAGGAAUUAUUUGUUGAUGAGAAUGAUGAUGUUAUGAAAUCAUGACAAAUCCAAUAUCAUGCUGCUGCAAUAGAUAGAGAGUCAGGUAGAGGUAUUGUCAAUCGCUGCAAAUGGAUACUAUAAGGUUGUGAAAGAAAAUCAGACUUUAUACAACAUGGUCGAAGAUUUAAAAGGAAACAUUCAAGUUUACCGCAGGAUUAGACCUGAAAAAGUUGUUUCAAUUCAACCGCGUUUUUGGUCCAACUAGUACUCAAGUUAAUAAUAAUAAUUCAAACAUUUUUCCAUAAUUCUAGAACCUUCUGUUGACUAAUGUUUUGACUGUUAUCAGAUGAGAUUUUUUGCUGACAAGA